UACUGAUAAUAGCAAACUACGAGAAAUCGUAGGACGCAAAGCUAUGGGUCUAAAGGACGCCUGACCCGCACCCUUAAAAGUACGAGCCAGACGCCCACAAAUUGGCUUAAGGGGUGUCCAAUGACCGCCAGGCUGCCAGU
rnacentral:ncRNA from 1 species